rnacentral:lncRNA from 1 species
UUUGAUUUCUUUCGUUUUGUCUUUGUUUUUCACUUCUAGCGGUUUAUUUACACAAACUAAAAGUCUUAAAAUGUUUUUGUACUUCUACCAGUUUACCGUUUGAUCCCAUUUUCAAAAAAACAACAAAAGAUUUUCAUUUUUGUAAAACAUAAAAUUUAUUUAUUUAUUGUUAUUACAAAGAAAACUCUAUAAAUUAAUAUACAAUGAACUAGUUAACAUUUUAGAUAGAUAAAUUAAAAAUAUAAUACUAUAAAUUAGUGAAACAAUAAUUUUGACAAAAGUUUUAUCUAAUAUAUACGCUCUA